GCGGACGUGGUGGAACUGGUAGACACACAGGACUUAAAAUCCUGAGGGGGGCAACCCCCGUGCGGGUUCGACUCCCGCCGUCCGCACCA
rnacentral:tRNA from 2 species